AGCAGCCGCGGUAAUUCCAGCUCCAAUAGCGUAUAUUAAAGUUGUUGCAGUUAAAAAGCUCGUAGUUGAAUUUCGGAAUUUUUUUAUCGGUUGAAUCAACAGGUUCGUACUGGUUUUAAGAAUUUCUACCUUCUGGAGAACCUUAAUGUCAUUAAUUUGGUGUUUUGGGAAACCAGGACUGUUACCUUGAAAAAUUAGAGUGUUUAAAGCAGGCUUAUGUCUGAAUAUAUUAGCAUGGAAUAAUGAAAUAGGACGGCAUGGUUCUAUUUUGUUGGUUUCUAGGAUCACCGUAAUGAUUAAUAGGGAUAGUUGGGGGCAUUAGUAUUCAAUUGUCAGAGGUGAAAUUCUUGGAUUUAUUGAAGACUAACUUCUGCGAAAGCAUUUGCCAAGGAUGUUUUCAUUAAUCAAGAACGAAAGUUAGGGGAUCGAAGACGAUCAGAUACCGUCGUA
rnacentral:rRNA from 1 species